rnacentral:rRNA from 1 species
GACGAACGCUGGCGGCGUGCUUAACACAUGCAAGUCGAACGGGAGUAUUGAAGAAGCUUGCUUUAGAGAUACUUUAGUGGCGGACGGGUGAGUAACGCGUGAGGAGCUGUCCAAUGCAGGGGGACAACAGUUGGAAACGACUGCUAAUACCCCAUAAGCCGAGAGGUAAAAGGAUUUAUCCGGCAGAGGAGGUACUCGCGUCCUAUCAGCUAGUAGGUGAGGUAACGGCUCACCUAGGCGAAGACGGGUAGCCGGCCUGAGAGGGCGAACGGCCACACUGGAACUGAGAUACGGUCCAGACUCCUACGGGAGGCAGCAGUGGGGAAUAUUGGGCAAUGGGGGGAACCCUGACCCAGCGACGCCGCGUGGGUGAAGAAAUCCUUCGGGAUGUAAAGCCCUGUUGUAUGGGAAGAGCGGAAGACGGUACCAUACGAGGAAGCCCCGGCAAACUACGUGCCAGCAGCCGCGGUAAU